GGUGGGGGGGGGGGUGGACUGUGUUGGUUACAUCAUAAAAUUAUUUCCCCCCAGUCUGACAAGCUGAAGGAAGACCACGGCGCAAUGGUAAGGUUGCUCUAUCGCAACCUAGCGGUCGUGGGUUCAAGUCGGGAAACAGCCUCUCCACGAAGAUGGGAAGUUACUGCAAGGCAAGAAUCAUAGGAUGACUGAAGUCUGCCAAACCAUGUCAAAAGCCUAAUUGUCUUAUUCUGUGAGCUACCUUAUUCUUAAACAAGAUCCGGAGCUAGAAGCAAAAUAUUAGUUUGUUUGUUUCUUCUGGAAUGGGCUCAUUUGGGACUAACAUCCUGUAAAGGAAAUCAGGAAUGGUCACUGGAGGGGUCCUGACUUUGAUUGCCUGGUAAAAAGUAAGGAUGAAUUUAUGAUCGUUACCUCGUAAGUGUAUUGCUUCAAUGGACACAGGAGAAAAUUAGUGAAUGUUCUUUGUCUAAAAGUAGGUUUGAUUACUUCACCUAUGAGAAUUUCUGCCAAUUCUUGUUUUAUUUAUCAAGGCUCAUCUUAAUCUCCGUCAAGAUUACAGCCUUAGCUCUGUCCUUAGCAUCCUAUCAUCCGUAUAAUCUUAAAAUGUAAACCACACUGUUGGUUAAGAACAUCGGAUCAUACUAAAAUUUGUCUCCGGUGAUUUGAGUUAGGAUCCUUUCCAUGGAAGCCCCAAUUCUCUUAAUCAUUGGAAUGUGGCAAUUCUGUUGACUCAUUUAGGCCACUAUCA